AUUGCCUCAGUAACGGCGAGUGAAGCGGCAACAGCUCAAAUUUGAAAUCUGGCCCCAGGCCCGAGUUGUAAUUUGCAGAGGAUGCUUUUGGCAAGGUGCCUUCCGAGUUCCCUGGAACGGGACGCCAUAGAGGGUGAGAGCCCCGUCUGGUCGGACACCAAGCCUAUGUAAAGCUCCUUCGACGAGUCGAGUAGUUUGGGAAUGCUGCUCUAAAUGGGAGGUAUAUGUCUUCUAAAGCUAAAUACCGGCCAGAGACCGAUAGCGCACAAGUAGAGUGAUCGAAAGAUGAAAAGCACUUUGAAAAGAGAGUUAAACAGCACGUGAAAUUGUUGAAAGGGAAGCGUUUAUGACCAGACUUGGCCCGGUUGAUCAUCCAGCGUUCUCGCUGGUGCACUCUGCCGGUCCAGGCCAGCAUCAGUUCGCUGCGGGGGAUAAAGGUUUCGGGAAUGUGGCUCCUCCGGGAGUGUUAUAGCCCGUUGCGUAAUACCCUGCGGUGGACUGAGGUCCGCGCUUCUGCAAGGAUGCUGGCGUAAUGGUCAUCAACGACCCGUCUUGAAACACGGACCAAGGAGUCGUCUUCGUAUGCGAGUGUUCGGGUGUAAAACCCCUACGCGUAAUGAAAGUGAACGCAGGUGAGAGCUUCGGCGCAUCAUCGACCGAUCCUGAUGUUCUCGGAUGGAUUUGAGUAAGAGCAUACGGGGCCGGACCCGAAAGAAGGUGAACUAUGCCUGUAUAGGGUGAAGCCAGAGGAAACUCUGGUGGAGGCUCGCAGCGGUUCUGACGUGCAAAUCGAUCGUCAAAUAUGGGCAUGGGGGCGAAAGACUAAU
rnacentral:rRNA from 1 species